GUUCUUCCUCUUCAGUCAUUGCCAUAAGCUCCUUUUGAGACCUCUACAUGGCCCAAAAAGGCAAGCAUAUUGGUAUUAAAAUCCCAUCUUCACCAUUGUUUCGAUGCUCCACGUAGAAGCUAAUCCGAGGGAAAGCCAUGGCAGGUUCUGCAUAUUCAGGCAAAACCCAUCCAACAUUCAAAUCUCCUAACCAAGCACUCGUUAGAUCACUAACAAGAAAAUUCCCUGUUACUAUGUAAGGUGGCCUUCCUUUGAUUACCAUAAGAUCUGUUGCUACUGAUGCCAUGUACUCUUCAUUCAUUUCAGCUUUCACCUUCUUUACCAACUCCACUACAUAUAUCCCAAUGAGUUUUUGCAUAAAUCUCCAGCUUUCGAAACUGCAGCAAGAAAUGAUGGUAUUCUUGGUUGUCCCUAAUUCAGGUGAUCAGUAUAUUAAUCUUCUUUAAUUUUACAACAUUAUAUAUGCAUUUUUCUUUUUACAACUUUUUUUUUUUUAUGAUUAAUAUUAAACUUAUUAAAACUAGGGGUUGCCAAAGAGCUUCUUGUUGAGUUUUGUGAGGUCUCACGCAGCUUUGUUCGAAGGUUGGUGGUUCAUGGUCAUGGGUUUCAUGCUAUGGACCUUGGAAUUGACACGAUAAGGAUGCUACAUCAACUUGGAGGUGAUGAGGUUCUCUUCUCUGAGCAAGUCUCUGGUUAACCUUCAUUUCAAUUGGUGCUUGAUGGAAGGGAGAAUUUUACCCAGAUCUAGAAUUUGAACCUUGAACCAAGAGGUGACUCGUUUGGUAUGUGGAGGUUUUGUUUUGGCAUUGCGCUUUAACCAUACAAUAUGUAAGGCAGGAACCGCGGCCCAAGUCUGCCUUUAAGAUACUAUGGCAAUGCAUUGCAUAUCAUGCACUCUUUCGAUAUGAGAGGAGUUGGUGAAGAAAGCAAAAACCGAAACGAAUCAAGAGUAUAUAAAAUCAGUGGCAGAUCUUAUGGUAAUGAAAGUAGGCCACCUUACAUAGUUACAGGGAACUUUCUUGCUAGUGAUGUAACGAAUGCUCGAUUAAGAGAUGUGGAUUUUGUUGAAGUAUAACCCCUAUGCUGACGUGGAAAGAGUUGCUGAUGUGGAUAAGUGAGGCUACAAGGUGUAAUCCAUGCUAGCUUACAUGCCAAGCGUCACUGAAUUUGUAAAAAGAAAUAUGCAUGCAUGAAAGUGUGAAUGAGAGAAUUUUAUUAAAAAUCAGAAUUGUAAUCAUUACCUGAUGAUGUAAGAAUUGAUAUAUACUGUUAUAUUGAAAAAUGCAAUACAAGUUGAGCUCACACAAUU